rnacentral:rRNA from 1 species
GAUGAACGCUAGCGGCAGGCCUAAUACAUGCAAGUCGGACGGGAUUCAGGAGCUUGCUUCUGAUGAGAGUGGCGCACGGGUGCGUAACACGUAUGUAACCUACCUUUAUCAGGGGGAUAGCCUCUCGAAAGAGAGAUUAAGCCCGCAUAAAAUCACAGCACAGCAUUGUGUAAUGAUCAAAUAUUUAUAGGAUAAAGAUGGGCAUGCGGAACAUUAGCUAGAUGGCGGGGUAACGGCCCACCAUGGCGACGAUGUUUAGGGGAUCUGAGAGGAUGGCCCCCCACAAUGGUACUGAGACACGGACCAGACUCCUACGGGAGGAAGCAGUAAGGAAUAUUGGUCAAUGGGCGGAAGCCUGAACCAGCCAUGCCGCGUGCAGGAAGACGGCCAUACGGGUUGUAAACUGCUUUUAUACGGGAAUAAACCCAGAUACGUGUAUCUGGCUGAAUGUACUGUAAGAAUAAGGAUCGGCUAACUCCGUG